rnacentral:rRNA from 1 species
UACGUAGGGUGCAAGCGUUGUCCGGAAUUAUUGGGCGUAAAGAGCUCGUAGGCGGUCUGUCGCGUCUGCUGUGAAAACUCGGGGCUUAACCCCGGGCCUGCAGUGGGUACGGGGCAGACUAGAGUGCGGUAGGGGAGACUGGAAUUCCUGGUGUAGCGGGUGAAAUGCGCAGAUAUCAGGAGGAACACCGGUGGCGAAGGCGGGUCUCUGGGCCGUAACUGACGCUGAGAGCGAACGAACUGGGGGAGCGAAACAGG